rnacentral:rRNA from 1 species
CCUACGGGAGGCAGCAGUGAGGAAUAUUGGUCAAUGGGCGCGAGCCUGAACCAGCCAAGUCGCGUGGGGGAAGACGGCCCUAUGGAUUGUAAACCUCUUUUGUCGGGGAGCAAAAGACGCCACGCGUGGCGUUCCGAGAGUACCCGAAGAAAAAGCAUCGGCUAACUCCGUGCCAGCAGCCGCGGUAAUACGGAGGAUGCGAGCGUUAUCCGGAUUUAUUGGGUUAAAAGGGUGCGCAGGCGGAAGAUAAAGUUAGCGGGAAAAUUGGGGGGCUCAACUUCUUCGUGCCGUUGAAACUGGUUUUCUUGAGUGAACGAGAGGUAUGCGGAAUGCGUGGUGUAGCGGUGAAAUGCAUAGAUAUCACGCAGAACUCCGAUUGCGAAGGCAGCAUACCGGCGCUCAACUGACGCUCAUGCACGAAAGUGUGGGUAUCGAACAGGAUUAGAUACCCUUGUAGUC